AGAAAAGUAAGCUAAAUAAAGCUAAUGGGUUCAUACCCCAUUAAUAGAGAUAUCCUCUCUCUUUUCUA
rnacentral:tRNA from 1 species